UACGUAGGUGGCAAGCGUUGUCCGGAUUUAUUGGGUUUAAAGGGGGCGUAGGCGGCUUUGUACGUCAGUGGUGAAAUAUGGCAGCUCAACUGUCAGGGUGCCAUUGAUACUGCGGAGCUUGAGUACAGAUGAGGUAGGCGGAAUUGACGGUGUAGCGGUGAAAUGCUUAGAUAUCGUCAAGAACACCGAUAGCGAAGGCAGCUUACUAGGCUGUAACUGACGCUGAGGCACGAAAGUGUGGGGAUCAAACAGG
rnacentral:rRNA from 1 species